GAAUGCUUCUGCGCAUCAUGCAUCGCCAGAAAGGUGCUUGCUAACAGGCCUAGCGGUACUGCCUCUUCUUGCUCAGGGUUCAUUAUUGUCUUUUCAAGCA
rnacentral:lncRNA from 1 species